rnacentral:snRNA from 1 species
GGAUGUGAAGGCAAUCUGACUGUGACAUCUGUCACCCAUUGAUCACCGGGGUUGAUAUGGCUGAUCAGGCUGGCUAGGUGGGUGUCCCCUUCCUCCCUCACUGCUCCACUUGUGUCCCUUCAGAAGCAACAAACUGCUCUUGGUCAGAGAGGAAAACUUGCCUGAAUAGAGACAGACGGUUCUUUAGUCGAGGGUAUAUGAGUCUCUGUGCUCCCCUAAUAGAACCUCCCGACAAGCUCUCAAGGUCCAUUAUGGAACUUCUUGAACAUCCUCCAGAGCUAUAAUCUCUUCAGUUAAGAAUUCUGUCUUAGC